CAUCAUUCAUCAUUUAUCAAUAUUUAAGUAAUAUUUCUCAUAAUUUUUGAGCUCAGAUUUAUGGUUUCAGUGCAUCUAGUGCCUUGCUAUCACUCAGGGCCACUUUACAAACUGUAAACAGACAAGAAACUGGAAGUAAAUGAAGUAGAAAGAGAGAAGGCGCACAAGCAGGUCGGUGGUGAUUCAGGCAGCUGGCCCUCCAUCACAAGAUUAAUAAGUUGCCGUUUCCAAGCCGACCAGAACCUAGUGGGAACUAUCCAGUGCCGCCGUGAAUUGUGGGUAACGGCCUCAGCAGAAGCUGGCCCUGGUUUUACUGGCCCCUGUUUUUGU